AAGUCGUAACAAGGUUUCCGUAGGUGAACCUGCGGAAGGAUCAUUACAGAGUUCAUGCCCUCACGGGUAGACCUCCCACCCUUGAAUACCUUACCUUUGUUGCUUUGGUGGGCCACGUUCGCGUGUUGGCUUCGGCUGGCUGCGCCCGCCAGAGAACCCAAACUCGUUUGUUUAGUGAUGUCUGAGUACUAUAUAAUAGUUAAAACUUUCAACAACGGAUCUCUUGGUUCUG
rnacentral:misc_RNA from 1 species